UACAGAGGGGGCAAGCGUUGUUCGGAAUUACUGGGCGUAAAGCGCACGUAGGCGGCUUUGUAAGUUAGAGGUGAAAGCCCGGGGCUCAACUCCGGAAUUGCCUUUAAGACUGCAUCGCUAGAAUUGUGGAGAGGUAAGUGGAAUUCCGAGUGUAGAGGUGAAAUUCGUAGAUAUUCGGAAGAACACCAGUGGCGAAGGCGACUUACUGGACACAUAUUGACGCUGAGGAGCGAAAGCAUGGGGAGCGAACAGG
rnacentral:rRNA from 1 species